rfam:Triticum aestivum genome assembly, contig: Triticum_aestivum_CS42_TGACv1_scaffold_221186_3B
GCUCAGUUGGUAAAGCACAAGGCUCUUAACCUUAUGGACGUGGAUUCAAGUCCCAU